AUGGCGAUCCAAGGUCCUUUCCUCUUUUGCCUCCUUGGCUUGGCCUGCUUGUCUGCUUACACUGAAGCUGCAAAACCAAGUCAUUCAAAACCAUUUAAUAGGACCUGUUUUCCUAAUGGUUUUAUAUUUGGAGUUGGUUCAGCUGCUUACCAGUCUGAAGGCGCAGCACGUAUUGAUGAUAGGGGCCCUAGUAUAUGGGAUACUUUCACUCGGGAACAUCCUGAAAAAAUUGCGGAUGGUAGCAAUGGAGAUGUAGCUGAUGACUUUUAUCAUCGUUAUAAGGGGGACAUAAAACUGAUGAAAAAAAUUGGAUUGGACUCUUUCAGAUUCUCUAUUUCAUGGUCAAGAAUAUUACCUAAGGGAAAAAUAAGCAGGGGAGUGAACCCACAAGGUGUUAAAUUCUACAACAACCUCAUCAACGAGCUCCUGUUGAAUGGUAAAAUUAUACUUCAUUUUAUUUUUAGCUAUAAUUUGUAUCAAGCACUUGAAGAUGAGUAUGGUGGAUUUUUAAGCCCCAAAAUAGUGAAAGAUUAUCUAGAUUACGUGGACUUUUGCUUCAAAACAUUUGGGGAACAAGUUAAGCUUUGGGUCACAAUGAACGAACCAAAUGGGAUAUGCAUCAAUGGGUACACCUUAGGUACUAUUGCACCAGGACGAUGUUCUAAUUAUGUUGGAAACUGUACUGCCGGUAACUCUGCCACCGAGCCCUAUAUUGUUGCCCACAACUUACUUCUUGCUCAUGGAGGUGCUGUGAAGUUGUACAAGGACAAGUACCAGCCAUAUCAACAUGGGAAAAUUGGGAUUACAAUAGUGGCACAUUGGUUUGUACCAAAAUACCAAACUUCUGCCAACAGAAAGGCUACCUAUAGAGUUCUUGAUUUCUAUUUUGGCUGGUUUCUCCAUCCGGUCAUAUAUGGUGACUAUCCCAAAAGCAUGAAAUCUUUGGUGGGUAAUCGAUUGCCCAGAUUUACUGAAGCUCAAUCCAAUAAGUUACUAAAAGGCUCCCUCGAUUUUCUUGGUGUAAAUUACUACACUACAAAUUAUGUAGAAAGUGCUCCCUCUUCUAAUGGUGUUAAUGCUAGUAUUGUCUCUGAUAGACAAGCCACCCUCACGGCUGAUAAAAAUGGAACUCCUAUUGGUACACCGACAGCUUUGAACUGGCUAUUCAUCUAUCCUAAGGGACUUCGAGAGCUUUUGCUAUAUAUAAAGGAAAAUUACAACAAUCCAGUGAUAUACAUAACAGAGAACGGAAUGGCUGAUGCAAAUAAUAGAUCUUUGCCAAUUAAAGAUGCCCUCAAAGAUAGUCUGAGGAUAGGAUACCAUUAUGGACAUUAAUUAUCAUAUCUUUUAAAAGCUAUCAAGGAGGGCGUGAAUGUGAAGGGAUACUAUGUUUGGUCAUUCUUUGACGACUUUGAAUGGGAUGGUGGUUACACUUCUCGGUUUGGUCUUAUUUUUGUUGAUUUUAAUAACAAUAUGAGGAGAUAUCUCAAGUACUCUGCCUAUUUCUUCAAGUUGUUUCUCCUAAAAUAA